rnacentral:tRNA from 1 species
UGGCUCAGUUGGUAAAGCAUGGCACUUGCCAUGCCAGGGUUGUGGGUUCGAUUCCUAU